UUCAACCCCGCGCUCCUCUUUGUAGAAGUGAAACGGUUUUGCGCAAUGCUUACCUUAUGUGGGCGCGUGUGGCAUGUGCCAAAGAUUAGACCGAAACGGAGGGUGGUGGGAGGUAGUGAAAGAAAGGAAUAUUGUAACGAGAAUUUCAACUACAACAACAACAACAACAGCAAAAAACUGCACGAGGCAGCGCCAAAUCGCGCGACCAUCGUCAUCACCAUCGGUCGGUUUUGCGGACGGGAACGGCAGAUAUUUCCCACGUGGUUCGGCCACGUGAUGGCACGGGUCCUACACUACAUGCAAAAGGGAGGUUUGCGUUCGAAUUGGCGCGACGGUAAAACGGUAUCGGACUCGCCGGGAGCGUCGUCGACAGCGCCGUGUGAUGGAAUAUUUUUCCAACGCUUCGCGUGGCCUCAGAUCGUAAACACACCGUGACACCGUGGAGGAAGGGCUGUGAAAGGGUUGUAGGGGCGAGGGGGGAGUGAUGUGCGGGUAUCAUGUAGCUCGUGUCGAUCAUUAGCGUCGCACAAAGGACGUGUCCCGCGUGUGGUGUGGCACUAUCUGGACAGCUGGACAGCUCCUUCAGAGGAUUUUAACCCCUUUCCUUCGUCAAACGCGAGGAUGGAAUUAUGACAAGUGAGGGAACAUUAGCUAAUUAGAAAGCUUUCGCUAAGCUUUCUUAUCAUUCAAGAGUAUGACAGAUUUUAUUUAAAAAAAAACAAGCUAUUUUUAAGUUUCUUCAGUGUUUAAAUGCAUCUUUGCAGACGAUCUACUACCAAUAUCAAAAUGGAACCUUUCUUGAUGCCGAUUGAAGACGUCCAGGAACACCAACUUUGCAUAACUACUAUUCAUCAUUCACGAAUCCUCCCCAAUUCUUGACGCCCGCCGACGACGUGUGCAGUUGAUGCAACGGCGAUGCAUUUCUCUGGGCCAUGGCGAGUGGACUUCACGUGUCGCCGCUGGCCGAUCGGUCCCGGAGUGCACGGUGGCAUCGAAUGUAUAUUCCGCCCAGCCCCCUGAUGCAGCAAACCCCAUCAGCUCAUGCCGUCACGUUUCCAGGCCGUCCGACUCGAGUUAGGAGCGGAAAACGUGCCGAAUCUAGUUGAAUUAAGUGGUGUACAGAACCCGAACGAAAUGCGCCUCCUAUUUGCGCGUCGAUGGAUUACGGAAGUGGAAGCUUAUCGGUGGAGGGUUGAGCAAGGGAGUUCUUUACAAAUAAAAGGGAGGCAUGUGAUU